GACGAACGCUGGCGGCGUGCUUAACACAUGCAAGUCGAACGCUGAAGCUCAGCUUUUGUUGGGUGGAUGAGUGGCGAACGGGUGAGUAACACGUGAGUAACCUGCCCCCUUCUUUGGGAUAACGCCCGGAAACGGGUGCUAAUACUGGAUAUUCACUGGUCUUCGCAUGGUGGUUGGUGGAAAGGGUUUUUCUGGUGGGGGAUGGGCUCGCGGCCUAUCAGCUUGUUGGUGGGGUGAUGGCCUACCAAGGCUUUGACGGGUAGCCGGCCUGAGAGGGUGACCGGUCACAUUGGGACUGAGAUACGGCCCAGACUCCGACGGGAGGCAGCAGUGGGGAAUAUUGGACAAUGGGCGCAAGCCUGAUGCAGCGACGCCGCGUGAGGGAUGGAGGCCUUCGGGUUGUGAACCUCUUUCGCUAAUGGUCAAGCCGCAACAAUGGUUGUGGUGAGGGUAGUGGGUAAAGAAGCGCCGGCUAACUACGUG
rnacentral:rRNA from 1 species